CCUACGGGUGGCAGCAGUGGGGAAUAUUGCACAAUGGGCGAAAGCCUGAUGCAGCAACGCCGCGUGAAGGAAGAAGGGUUUAGGCUCGUAAACUUCUAUCAACAGGGAAGAAAGAAAGGCCGGUACAUGACUAAGCAGCCCCGGCUAACUACGUGCCAGCAGCCGAGGUCAUACGUAGGGCGCAAGCGUUAUCCGGAAUUACUGGGUGUAAAGGGUGAGUAGGCGGCAUGGUAAGCCAGAUGUGAAAGCCUUGGGCUUAACCCGAGGAUUGCAGUUGGAACUGUCAGGCUAGAGUACGGGAGAGGAAAGCGGAAUUCCUGGUGUAGCGGUGAAAUGCGUAGAUAUUAGGAAGAACACCAGUUGCGAAGGCGGCUUUCUGGAGUGAAACUGACGCUGAGGCACGAAAGCGUGGGGAGCGAACAGGAUUAGAUACCCGAGUAGUC
rnacentral:rRNA from 1 species